GCUCUCGUAGGGUUAGAGCACCCGUUUAGUAAGCGGGAGGUCUUGAGUUCGACUUUCAACGAGAGCA
rnacentral:tRNA from 1 species